CUGACAAGGAAACGUGAAACACUGAAACGGAAAUGGCAGUGGCAGUACCGAGUUACUCCUUACUCUAAAUCGCUCCCAUAGUUUCAUUCCCUUCACUCGCAACGUUCUUUGUUCCGAUCGCACUACUUUCUUCUCUCCCAAUACCCCAAUUCCAAAACUACGCCUCAAACGUCUUCCAAUUUAUUAGUUCUCAGUUAUUGUAAUACCUUGGCUGGGAGAAACUGUAAUGGCUCAUUGCUCCACCUCCAACACGGAUACUAGCGCAAGUGCACCUCAAAUAAGUUCAUGGUAUGUAGAUGAAUCUUAUGAAGAGCUCAAGAAGGGAAUUCACCUUGUGAGAAUCUCAGAUGAGACCUUCACUUGUCCAUAUUGCCCUAAGAGAAAACAGGGAUAUCUGUAUAGGGAACUCCUUCAACAUGCUUCUGAGGUUUGUCAUAGUAGUGCACUAAAAAGAAGUGCAAGAGAGAAGGCUAAUCAUAUGGCUUUAGCGAAAUAUUUGGAAAAAGAUCUUGCGAGUUUCGAUGGCCUGACAAAACCUGUAGAUAAAGGUACCAAUGUAUUAAGCAUGGGAGAUACAGUACAGCAUCACUCCUCUGACAAGGAUACUAAUAUAAGUGCUACUCAAAUAAGUGGGUUCUAUGUAAAUAAAUUUUAUAACAAACUCAAAACGGCAAGUCAAAAUGCGAAAACCUCAGAUGAUACGUUUGCUUGCCCAUUCUGCCCUAAAAACAGAAAACAGAAUUAUGCGUACAGGGAAAUCCUUGCACAUGCUUCUGGGGUGGGUCAGAGUAGUUCACAGAAGAGAAGCAUGAAAGAAAAAGCUACUCAUCUAGCUUUAAUGAAAUAUUUGAAAAAGGAUGUUAUAAUUAAGGAUGCAAAUUGCCCAUCAGAACCUGCAGAUAAAGGUUCCCCAACAGCAAGUUCGCACGACACUGUGAUGGGUCAAUGCUCUAACAAAAAUCCUGGUACAACUGCAUCUCGAAUAAGUCGGCGGUAUUUCAUUAAAGCUUAUGAGGAACUCAAAAAGGGAAAGCACAUAGUGAAAGUCUCAGACGAGAGUUUCAUUUGUCCUUAUUGCCCUAGAAAGUUAAGUCGGUAUUAUGUGCUUAGGGAAAUUCUUGAACAUGCUAAAGGGGUAAGUAAGAGUUCCUCACAAAAGAGAAGUGGCACAGAGAAGGCUAAUCAUCUAGCUUUAGUGAAAUAUUUGAAAACGGAUCUGGUUAAUGCGAAUGGUCGCUUAAAAUCUGUGAAUGAAGGAACCAAAGUACUAAGCCCGAGAAAAAGCGUAAUGGAACAAUGCUCAAGAAAGGAUACUAACACAAGUGCACCUCAAAUAAGCAGGUGGCAUGUAGAUAAUUCUUAUGAACAACUUAAAAUGGGAAAUCACAAUGUGAAAACCUCAAAUGAGACUUUCACGUGUCCAUACUGCCCAAAAAAGAGAAAACGAGAUUAUGUGUACAGAGAACUACUUGAACAUGCUUCUGGGGUGGGUCAGAGCAGUUCACAGAAGAGAAGUACCAGAGAGAAAGCAGAUCAUCUGGCUUUACUAAAAUAUUUGAAAAAGGAUGUUAUUAAUAUUGAUGGUCCAUUGAAACCUGCAGAUGACAAAACCCAUCUUGUUAAUUCUGAUGAGCAGUUUGUGUGGCCUUGGACUGGGAUUGUAGUUAAUAUUCCCACUAUACAGACAGAAGAUGGACGUUGUGUAGGGCAAAGCGGUGCCAUGUUGAGGGAUGAAUACAAAAGCAGGGGUUUUAAUCCACGUAGAGUUCGUGCACUUUGGAGUUCACAAGUUCACUCUGGAACUGCUCUUGUCGAAUUCAAUAAUAAUUGGCUAGGCUUGGAUGAUGCAUUGCGUUUUGAAAGAGCAUAUGAACUAGAUCACCAUGGUAAAAAGGACUGGCUUGCUAAUACUGAGCUGAAGUAUGGUAUUUAUGCUUGGCUUGCACGAGUCAGUGAUUAUAAGUUGAACAAUAUUAUUGGGGAACAACUGCGGAAGAUGAGGGAUGUCAGGACUAUAAAUCAACUUAUGGAAGAAGAAGCUAGAAAGCAGGAUAAACUCGUGCUCAAUUUAACUAACACUAUUCAGGUAAAGAACAAGCUUUUAAAGGAGAUGGAAGUACAGUACAGUGAAGCUACAAUUAAAAUUGAUGUUGUAAUGGGGGAAAUAGAUAAGCUCACUAAAUCUCAUGACGAAGAGAUGAAGAAAAUACAGUCAAGUGCAAGGCAAUACUUUCAGAAUAUUUUUAGUGGCCAUGAAAGGCUUAAGCUACAAUUAGAAUCUCAGAAAACUGAGCUUGAGUUGCGAAGAAUAGAAUUGGAAAAGCGGGAAGCACAUAAUGAAAGUGAAAGAAAAAAGUUGAAAGAAGAGAUUGAGGAGAAUGCAAUGAAAAACAGCUCUCUUCAGAUUGCUGUUCAUGAACAAGAGAAGGCUAAUAAAAAUCUUUUGAGACUGGCUGCAGAUCAGGAGCGACAAAAAGAAGAACUCCAUGCUAAAAUUAUCCGGCUUGAAAAACAAUUGGAUAUGAAACAAAAAUUGGAGUUGGAGAUUCACCAACUAAAGGGAAAAUUAAAUGUCAUGAAGCACAUGGAAGAUGAUGGAGAUUCUGAAGUUUUGAAUGUGAUGGAUAUUUUAUAUAACGAAUUAAGAGAUAAGGAACAGUCACUUCGAGAGAUAGGGACAUUGAACCAAGCACUAAUUGUUAAAGAGCGUAAGAGCAACGAUGAGCUGCAGGAUGCUCGAAAAGUAUUGAUUAGUGGAGUUAAAGACAUGUGUACUCGUGGCAAUAUUGGUGUGAGGAGAAUGGGGGAACUUGAUAUUAGACCAUUCGUUGAAUUUAUGAGGAAAAGAUAUAAUGAUGAGGAAGCAGAAGAGAGAGCUUUGGAACUGUGUUCAUUGUGGGAAGAGUAUCUUAAGGACCCAGACUGGCAUCCCUUUAAAAUCAGCACAAUUGAUGGGAAACAUCAGGAGAUGAAGAAGAAGCUUUGAUGCAUGUACCAUAAGGGUUGUUUGUGAAUUGCGUUUGGAAGAGAAGGGAGGGGACGGGAAAGCUUGUAGUGUAAAUUUUACACCCUUCGAAACCCUUCCUUCCCAUAGCCAGCCAACCUCUAGGUUUAUAACUGUGUGACCUCUAGAACAUAUUGGUCCUGAAACUUCAGGGUUUAUGUUUACUGAGAAUUGGGAUUUCAUAGGCCCUAUCUGCCAUGAAAUGAAAUCUAGAAAAAGACUUUAGAUCACUGGAGGAAAAAAAAUGGAAGGAAAUGGUAGAUGAUAACGAUGAAAAGUUGAAAGGACUAAAAAACGAGAUGGGGGAAGAAGUGUACAACGCUGUGGUGGAAGCUUUAAGAGAGAUAAAUGAAUACAAUCCAAGUGGACGGUACAUAACCUCGGAAUUAUGGAACUACAAAGAUGGAAGAAAAGCCACUUUGCAAGAAGGGGUAAAUUUUCUAUUGGAGCAAUGGAAACUUCAUAAACGUUAGAG